CACGUAGGGCGCAAGCGUUGUCCGGAAUUAUUGGGCGUAAAGAGCUCGUAGGCGGUCUGUUACGUCUGCUGUGAAAACCCGGGGCUUAACCCUGGGCUUGCAGUGGAUACGGGCAGACUAGAGGCAGGUAGGGGAGAAUGGAAUUCCCGGUGUAGCGGUGAAAUGCGUAGAGAUCGGGAGGAACACCAGUGGCGAAGGCGGCUACCUGGACCAGCACUGACACUGAGGCACGAAAGCGUGGGGAGCAAACAGG
rnacentral:rRNA from 1 species